CAGGGCUGAUCUGCACAGAGGGGACCAGGCACUCCACUGACCUUCUGCUGGACUUCUCUGGCCAGGACCCCUGCAGCAGGGAAGCAGCCUCACUAGUCCGGGUGACUGAAUAAACAGCUGCUAGGGGUGUGGAAGUCAGCGGGUCCCGUGUGAUGAAUGGAGCUCUCAGUGUCCCAGCCACAGAACUGUUCUUCUUUUGUCUCUCUCUCUUUAGCUCUCUGUUAUAUAAACAUCUGGAGGGCUGAGCACCAUUUUUGCCCUAGUCAAGGAAGAAUACAUCUUAUAUUCACCACAAAAAGGCCCGCGGUGAGCAGGCCAUACCAGCAUAGGAACUGGACUAGCUCUGUGUGGGGUGGACUUGGAGACUCACUCUGAACCACUUUUCUUUCCUUUCCAGACCUCUGACGAGUGAGCUGAUGUGUGUGCAGACUCCAGAUUCCCUUCCGGAUCCAUACAAGGGAAAUGACACCUUCAUCCAUGUGAGUGUCAAGGGCAUCUUCACACUCCGGGCCCUUGCACAUGUGCAACCAGGGCAGCAGAAGACACAUUGGCGAUCAUCCCUUUCCUGGAGGAAGGACCGUAUAGCCAGUUCUUCAACAUCUACUACCAUAAAGCACACCGGAAGGGGGCGCACAAGCACAGAGUCAUGGAGGAAGAGGACCACUGAGAGCCUUUCUAUCACCGGCCACGGUUGUUUUCCUGCCUCUGAGGUGCAGUUUGGGAGAGAAGGACAGUGGCCUCAGGCUGUCCAUGUACUGAAGAGGCCUGCAGAGUCCUAAAAGCAGCAAGACUUCUUUUUACUAUUGGAAUUAAAGGCAAUUAUAUAGCAACU
rnacentral:lncRNA from 1 species